GACGAACGCUGGCGGCGUGCUUAACACAUGCAAGUCGAGCGGUAAGGCCCUUUCGGGGGUACACGAGCGGCGAACGGGUGAGUAACACGUGGGUGACCUGCCCUCAGCUCUGGGAUAAGCCUGGGAAACCGGGUCUAAUACUGGAUAUGACUCCAUGACGCAUGUUGUGGGGUGGAAAGCCUUGUGCGGCUGAGGAUGGGCCCGCGGCCUAUCAGCUUGUUGGUGGGGUNANGGGCCUACCAAGGCGACGACGGGUAGCCGGCCUGAGAGGGCGACCGGCCACNCUGGGACUGAGACACGGCCCAGACUCC
rnacentral:rRNA from 1 species